rnacentral:rRNA from 1 species
AGUGAACGCUGGCGGUAGGCCUAAUACAUGCAAGUCGAACGGCAGCACAGUAAGAGCUUGCUCUUACGGGUGGCGAGUGGCGGACGGGUGAGGAAUACAUCGGAAUCUACUUUUUCGUGGGGGAUAACGUAGGGAAACUUACGCUAAUACCGCAUACGACCUACGGGUGAAAGCAGGGGAUCUUCGGACCUUGCGCGAUUGAAUGAGCCGAUGUCGGAUUAGCUAGUUGGCGGGGUAAAGGCCCACCAAGGCGACGAUCCGUAGCUGGUCUGAGAGGAUGAUCGGCCACACUGGAACUGAGACACGGUCCAGACUCCUACGGGAGGCAGCAGUAGGGAAUAUUGGACAAUGGGCGCAAUCCUGAUCCAGCCAUACCGCGUGGGUGAAGAAGGCCUUCGGGUUGUAAAGCCCUUUUGUUGGGAAAGAAAAGCAGCAGGUUAAUACCCCGCUGUUCUGACGGUACCCAAAGAAUAAGCACCGGCUAACUUCGUG